GAUAACGUCAGGAAGACGUUCAUCAGGAUGAUGUUUCGCGCACAGGAAGAGGCGCAAACAGGAUUGCUUCAGGAUGAAGCAAAAAGUUCCAAGAUGGAAUAAAGGGACACCUCCAGGAAGGAGAAUGAGAGCCAGACAGGAUGACUGGCGGGCCAGGACGCUAAAGGAAAAUCGUCAGGAAGGCGAGAAUGUCAGGAAGACAGCAGGGAAAAGUUUUCAAGGACGAGCAGGGAGCGUUGAAGUAGCCGGAUAGCUGCAAACGAACCGGGGGCACUGUAUAACAGUGCCCCCUUUUUUUAUG
rnacentral:other from 1 species